AUUGAACGCUGGCGGCAUGCCUAACACAUGCAAGUCGAACGAGUGGCGGACGGGUGAGUAAUGUCUGGGAAACUGCCCGAUGGAGGGGGAUAACUACUGGAAACGGUAGCUAAUACCGCAUACCAUCAGAUGUGCCCAGAUGGGCUUAGCUGGUUGGUGGGGUAACGGCUCACCAAGGCGACGAUCCCUAGCUGGUCUGAGAGGAUGACCAGCCACACUGGAACUGAGACGCGGUCCAUAGUCCUGCGUGAGGCAGCAGUGGGGAAUAUUGCACAAUGGGCGCAAGCAUGAUGCAGCCAUGCCGCGUGUAUGAAGGAGGCGUUCGGGUUGUAAAGUACUUUCAGCGGGGAGGCGUUACCCGCAGAAGAAGCACCGGCUAACUCCGUGCCAGCAGCCGCGGUAAUAC
rnacentral:rRNA from 1 species